UACGGGGAGACACGAGCGCGCGAGACGAAUUACCACGAGCGCGGGAGGUUAGGCCGCGGGCGGACGGCGCCGAGCUGUCGCAAGGCGGGGGUGCCCCGGGUGGUGGAGGAGGAGGGGGUGCAGCCGGCGGAGGAGCGGACGGCGCGCGGCGGGGACGGGGCGUGGUGGCGGGCGGAGGCGGGCGAGGCCUACAGCCGGAGGUUGGUGAGGCCGCGGCCGCGGUCGAGGGGGAGGCGGGGGAGCGGCGGGGGCCGGGAGCGCCACUCAGACUACGUAGGAGGAGGAGGAGUGCGCAGGCAGGCAUACUACAGAAUGGCACGGCCGUAGCUACCACAGCCUCGACUCUACGACCCCGGCAUGUUAUCAACGGCACCUACCUACCUUGUGGAUCACGCAACUGAAUCGUUGACCGGCUACCCUUCCCUACGGACGGAAUCGUUGAGGUUCGAUGCUUGGACGGAGUACCCUCGCGGAUGGCCUUCGAGCGCGCGGUCCGGCGGUGACGGUGUGGUCGGCGGCGGCGGCAUCGGGGCUGGUACAGCAGAAACAGGAAGGGGCAGGGACGACAGCUACCACUCCUACUGCUACUCUUGCAGCUGCUCAAGUUGCCGAAGCUGCGUGACUCGCUCAUACUACGGUCGCACUGCCUCUAGCUGCUCCUCCUACUUUUCCGGGAGCGACGUAAGUACAGGUUCCUUUGGAGGAGGUUUGCUAGCGAACCACUAUAGUAGGAGGUCUUCUAGUCUCUCUUCCUGCGGUGACAGAGUUGUACGAAAGAGGCACUAAUUAUAUUUAAUACGUUCCUAGUCUCCUAUACAACUACGAUGAUGGUUAGUAACAACCACUUUCUUUACAGUAAACUCUUUAGAGCCGGGUAACAAGAAGAAUUACUUCUAAGAAUGGUUGAAAUAGGAAAGGACACAGAGUUUUGACAGUUGGAUCGAGUAUCUUGCUAGAAAAAAAUCCUACGUACCAAAAAAAAGACCAAUAAUAUGUAAUGUUGCUCAAGUAACAUAAGUCUAAGGAAUGUUGAAGUACGUGGACUCGAUAAACGUCCUCCCCUCGACCGGAAGAAGUGCAGAGCCCCCUCACAGAAGGAACCUAAGUUGUUCUUCCCCUGGGCCGGAAGAAGUACAGAGCACGUUGUUCCCACUAGCUGCGCCUGAUGGUGUCGGGCCACCCACAGCACGAGAAGUUGGUGAUCCUCCGCCUGAAGCGGAACUUCGGGCCUCUGCCACAGCACGUCUACUGGUAGGUCCACUAACGCUUAACGCUGUGGCCUCCAGCGGCUUCACCUCCUGGAGCUGCGGUGGCAGGCCGCCCUCCCUCCCAAGCCCAGGUGGCCAUCAACUUGAGGCUCAGAACCAUCUAUGUAGAUCUGUUCACCAGACCAACAAACGCAAACCACAAUUUACCCUAGAGCACUUGAGAUGACUCAACUCUACAACUUACAACGCAGGUACUUGCGACGUUCACGAUUCUAACCAAGACACUAGAAUCAAAUAAAACGUAACCUGUACAGAUCUAAAGGUAGGUGCUUAUGUCGUAG
rnacentral:rRNA from 1 species